GAUGAACGCUGGCGGCGUGCCUAACACAUGCAAGUCGAGCGAUUCUCUUCGGAGAAGAGCGGCGGACGGGUGAGUAACGCGUGGGUGACCUGCCCUGUACACACGGAUAACAUACCGAAAGGUAUGCUAAUACGAGAUAAUAUGCUUUUGUCGCAUGGCAGAAGUAUCAAAGCUCCGGCGGUACAGGAUGGACCCGCGUCUGAUUAGCUAGGUGGUAAGGUAACGGCUUACCAAGGCGACGAUCAGUAGCCGACCUGAGAGGGUGAUCGGCCACAUUUGAACUGGGACACGGUCCAAACUCCUACGGGAGGCAGCAGUGGGGAAUAUUGCACAAUGGGCGAAAGCCUGAUGCAGCAACGCCGCGUGAGCGAUGAAGGCCUUCGGGUCGUAAAGCUCUGUCCUCAAGGAAGAUAAUGACGGUACUUGAGGAGGAAGCCCCGGCUAACUACGUGCCAGCAGCCGCAGUAA
rnacentral:rRNA from 1 species